CUGGCUCAGGAUGAACGCUAGCCACAGGCUUAACACAUGCAAGUCGAGGGGCAGCAUGAUCUUAGCUUGCUAAGAUUGAUGGCGACCGGCGCACGGGUGAGUAACGCGUAUCCAACCUUCCCCUUAGUAGGGCAUAGCCCGGUGAAAAUCGGAUUAAUACCCUAUGUUGUGUCAUGAGGACAUCUGAAUAACACUAAAGAUUUAUCGCUAAGGGAUGGGGAUGCGUCCGAUUAGGUAGUCGGCGGGGUAACGGCCCACCGAGCCCUCGAUCGGUAGGGGUUCUGAGAGGAAGGUCCCCCACACUGGUACUGAGACACGGACCAGACUCCUACGGGAGGCAGCAGUGAGGAAUAUUGGUCAAUGGGCGUAAGCCUGAACCAGCCAAAAGUAGCGUGCAGGAUGACGGCCCUAUGGGUUGUAAACUGCUUUUAUACGGGGAUAAAGGGAGGGACGUGUCCCUUAUUGUAGGUACCGUAUGAAUAAGGACCGGCUAAUUCCGUGCCAGCCGCCGC
rnacentral:rRNA from 1 species